UACGUAGGGGGCAAGCGUUGUCCGGAUUUAUUGGGCGUAAAGAGCGUGUAGGCGGUUUGGUAGGUCCGUUGUGAAAACUCGAGGCUCAACCUCGAGACGCCGGCGGAAACCAUCAGGCUAGAGUCCGGAAGAGGAGAGUGGAAUUCCUGGUGUAGCGGUGAAAUGCGCAGAUAUCAGGAAGAACACCCGUGGCUAAGGCGGCUCUCUAGUACGGUACUGACGCUGAGACGCGAAAGCGUGGGGGAGCGAACAGG
rnacentral:rRNA from 1 species